AACGAACGCUGGCGGCAGGCUUAACACAUGCAAGUCGAACGAUGAACCCGGAGCUUGCUCCGGGGGAUUAGGGGCGAACGGGUGAGUAACACGUGAGUAACCGGCCCUUGACUCUGGGAUAAAUGCGGGAAACGGUAGCUAAUACCGGAUACGACCCUCGGCGGCAUCGCCAGGGGGUGGAAAGAAUUUCGGUCGAGGAUGGACUCGCGGCCUAUCAGCUAGUUGGUGAGGUAACGGCUCCCCAAGGCGACGACGGGUAGCCGGCCGGAGAGGGUGACCGGCCACACUGGGCCUGAGACACGUGCCACAGUCCUACGGGAGGCCGCAGUUGGUAAUAUUGCACAAGCGCCGCAAGCCUGAUGCAGCAACGCCGCGUGAGGGAUGACGGCCUUCGGGUUGUAAACCUCUUUUAGUAGGGAAGAAGCGAAAGUGACGGUACCUGCAGAACAAGCACCGGCUAACUACGUGCCAGCAGCCGCGGUAA
rnacentral:rRNA from 1 species